UGGCUCAGUUGGUAGAGCAUGGUGUGUGCAACACCAGGGUUGUGGGUUCGAUACCCAC
rnacentral:tRNA from 1 species